CACUAGCUGUUGCACAUGUAGGUUCUGGAAAGUGCCCGACAAGUUGCAAACUUCCCUCUUUCCUCUACACCGAUACCCUAUGAUCAAGUAAAGAAUCAGUGUGAGGCCCUUGUGACUGGUAAACAACACAAGAUGUCAGCCCUCCAGAGUUUCAAGAUGCAACAGGAAACCAAGGCAUUACUAUCCUAUAAUGCAAUGGACAGGAAGAGCCCUUCUUUACCAAAGAUGGAUACGGAGCUUCACCAAACUCAUUCACAAUACUCUCUCUCAUGUUCACGGGAGUAUGGACAAGAGUCUUUUAGGUUGCCGCCUUCAAGCCCCUAUGACAAGUUCUUGAAAGCAGCAGGAUGCUGACUGACUUGAUGCUUUUACUUACACCUACCUUCUAAUACCCCUGUAAGUAUCAUGUUGAACCCAAAUCAGUGUCAAUUUCUUUUUUCGAGAAACUACUUUACUCUUUACCACUUUCAAAAAUAAUUAAUUCAAUGUGUAUAACGUCAAAGUGUGCAAGCUGGAAAACAUAAUAUUACCUUUUUAUUAGCAGAAAAGGAAAAGAGAAAAAGAAAUGAUUGUCUCUAGUCUUUAUAGCUUUCUAUAUCUUUGCUGAACUGGUAUGUCUAUAAGCGACUAAUGGAGACUUUUGCUACAUGUUUCAUGACGCACUUCCUUUUUUAGUUUGUAUAAAAAAAAAUUAUGGGUGUUUUUUC